GAUGAACGCUAGCGGCAGGCCUAAUACAUGCAAGACGAACGGUAAGUUGAGUAGCAAUACUUAGCCAAGAGUGUCGUACGGGUGCGUAACACGUAUGCAACCUACCCUAUACAGGAGGAUAGCCUAGGGAAACCUGGAUUAACCCUUCAUAGUAUUAUUGGAUGGCAUCAUUUGAUAAUUAAGACUGAGGUGGUAUAGGAUGGGCAUGCGUCUGAUUAGUUAGUUGGCGGGGUAAUGGCCCACCAAGACGAUGAUCAGUAGGGGUUCUGAGAGGAAGAUCCCCCACACUGGCACUGAGAUACGGGCCAGACUCCUACGGGAGGCAGCAGUAGGGAAUAUUGGUCAAUGGAUGCAAGUCUGAACCAGCCAUGCCGCGUGCAGGAAGAAGGCCUUCUGGGUUGUAAACUGCUUUUGCCAGGGGAUAAAAUUUCCAUGCGUGGAAAACUGAAGGUACCUGGUGAAUAAGCCACGGCUAACUAACGUGCCAGCAGCCGCGGUAA
rnacentral:rRNA from 1 species